rnacentral:rRNA from 1 species
UGUGACCUCAAAUCAGGUAGGACUACCCGCUGAACUUAAGCAUAUCAAUAAGCGGGAGGA